UGCUAAGACUGGAUAGGAGACAAGAAGGCAUCUUCUUGUUUUUAAAAGACCUAGCAAUAGGUAUGCUUAGGGAGGAGCUUGCGUCACAUUAGUUAGUUGGUGGGGUAAAGGCCUACCAAGACUAUGAUGUGUAGCCGGGCUGAGAGGUUGAACGGCCACAUUGGGACUGAGACACGGCCCAAACUCCUACGGGAGGCAGCAGUAGGGAAUUUUCGGCAAUGGAGGAAACUCUGACCGAGCAACGCCGCGUGAACGAUGAAGUAUUUCGGUACGUAAAGUUCUUUUAUUAGGGAAGAAUAAAUGAUGGAAAAAUCAUUCUGACGGUACCUAAUGAAUAAGCCCCGGCUAACUAUGUGCCAGCAGCCGCGGUAAUACAUAGGGGGCAAGCGUUAUCCGGAAUUAUUGGGCGUAAAGGGUGCGUAGGCGGUUAAAUAAGUUUAUGGUCUAAGUGCAAUGCUCAACAUUGUGAUGCUAUAAAAACUGUUUAGCUAGAGUAAGAUAGAGGCAAGUGGAAUUCCAUGUGUAGUGGUAAAAUGCGUAAAUAUAUGGAGGAACACCAGUAGCGAAGGCGGCUUGCUGGGUCUUUACUGACGCUGAGGCACGAAAGCGUGGGGAGCAAACAGGAUUAGAUACCCUGGUAGUCCACGCCGUAAACGAUGAGUACUAAACGUUGGGUAAAACCAGUGUUGAAGUUAACACAUUAAGUACUCCGCCUGAGUAGUACGUACGCAAGUAUGAAACUUAAAGGAAUUGACGGGACUCCGCACAAGCGGUGGAUCAUGUUGUUUAAUUCGAAGGUACCCGAAAAACCUCACCAGGUCUUGACAUGCUUCUGCAAAGCUGUAGAAACACAGUGGAGGUUAUCAGUUGCACAGGUGGUGCAUGGUUGUCGUCAGCUCGUGUCGUGAGAUGUUGGGGUUAAGUCCCGCAACGAGCGCAACCCUUAUUGUUAGUUACCAGCACGUAAUGGUGGGGACUUUAGCAAGACUGCCAGUGAUAAAUUGGAGGAAGGUGGGGACGACGUCAAAUCAUCAUGCCCCUUAUGACCUGGGCUACAAACGUGAUACAAUGGCUGUUACAAAGGGUAGCUGAAGCGCAAGUUUUUGGCGAAUCUCAAAAAAACAGUCUCAGUUCGGAUUGAAGUCUGCAACUCGACUUCAUGAAGUUGGAAUCGCUAGUAAUCGCGAAUCAGCAUGUCGCGGUGAAUACGUUCGCGGGGUUUGUACACACCGCCCGUCA
rnacentral:rRNA from 4 species